GAUGAACGCUAGCGGGAGGCUUAACACAUGCAAGUCGAGGGGCAGCAUAGGGUAGCAAUACUCUGAUGGCGACUGGCAAACGGGUGAGUAACGCGUAUGCAACCUACCCUGUACAGGGGGAUAACCCGGAGAAAUUCGGACUAAUAUCCCGUAAUAAUAUCCGGAGGCAUCUUUGGAUAUUUAAAGUUCCGACGGUACGGGAUGGGCAUGCGUAACAUUAACUGGUUGGUAAGGUAACGGCUUACCAAGGCUAUGAUGUUUAGGGGUCCUGAGAGGGUGGUCCCCCACACUGGUACUGAGACACGGACCAGACUCCUACGGGAGGCAGCAGUGAGGAAUAUUGGUCAAUGGGCGCAAGCCUGAACCAGCCAUCCCGCGUGCAGGAAGACGGCCCUAUGGGUUGUAAACUGCUUUUCCAGGGAGAGAAACUUACGCACGUGUUGCGUGACUGACGGUACCCUGGGAAUAAGCAUCGGCUAACUCCGUG
rnacentral:rRNA from 1 species